CAAACAUGAGUGUGAUCUGCGUCCUCAUCUGGACUCUCCUCUGCUGCUGCUUCACAGAGUCCAGAGGACAGGUCACAGUGACUCAGCCUGGAGCAGUGAGCUCCAAUGUGGGAGGAUCUGUCUCCAUCUCAUGUACAACCAGUCAGGAUGUUCAUAACAACAACUGUUUAGCCUGGUAUCAACAGAAAGAUGGAGAAACUCCUAAACUACUCUUUCAUUAUGUUGGCAGCAGAGUAUCAGGGACUCCAAGUCGUUUUUCAGAUGGUGGAUCAAACUCUGAUUUUACUCUGACCAUCAGUGGAGUUCAGGCUGAAGAUGCAGCAGUUUAUUACUGUCAGAGUUUUCAUGUCAUCAACAGUCAGUAUGUGUUCACACAGUGAAAAACAGUUGUACAAAAACCUCCCUCAUUCAGGCUGAACAGAAACUGAACUGACUGCUGCAGCUGGAAGAUGCUGCCGACACUGAUACAGUUCACUGAACAUCCAUUCUAACAAACAC